UCAAGAGUUGCUCGGGAAGCCCUCAGAGUUUGGGGCUUCAAGGAGGCCUGUCAAAGGACAAAAGAUGAGAUCGCUGGGCGGCAGGGUGUCCCAAAGGGUCCUAGAAACUGCGCCUCCGCGAUUCCUGUUAACUUGCCGCCAAGUUUUUCUAGAGGGGUCGCUCCUCUUGGCAGGGUGGAGCCUCGCUUCCUACCCAGCACUUCUUUGUGUGCCGGGUUUCUGUUUCGGGCUUUUCCAGCUGCUUAGGAGCUGAGGGGGCAGUGCGGUGGCUGGCCGGGGAGGAGCGGGUGGGCCGGAGUGUAGAACAGAGAGAGGUGGGGCGCGCUGGCGACUCUGAGGCGGCCAGGCUGGGGGCGCCCUAGAGUACAGCCCCGAACUACCGCCCCCUCUGGAGCCUGGCCCCUAGAGGCUGAGAUGCUUCUCACCAAGGGGCGCUCUGAGUAAGCCAUAGAGCUCUUCCCUGCCGACCCAGCUUUACUCAACUUUGAUCUUCAAAAACAUCUAGGAUAUGUAUUGAUAUAAUGCAGUAUGUGAUUGGUUUGUUUUUUUUUUUGUCCCAAAUACAAGCAAACUAAUAAUGUUAGUAAGUUUUAGAAUAGGGAAAGUUUGCAUGUUGAGUCAUGUGGUGGUUUUCUUUUAAGGUUUAAAUUUGGAUAACAUGUUAGUGCUUACGAGAUUUUACCAAAAGCAUUCUUUUACUGAGCUUUGCUGCUGUGCAGUUAUGAUGAAACAUGAAGAUGCCAGAACUGUACCUCACGAUAAGGCUUUAAUUGCCAGAAGGUUCUGAAAGUGCAACAGUAAUUCUAGGUUUAGAUAUAUUAAUUUGAGUUAGUUCUCUUGCAGGGUGCCCUAUAGGUUUUGUCAUCGGGUGAAACAGGAACAAAUAUAGGUCUGCUGGGGUCUUGGCACAGUACCACAUGGACCUGGACAAAAGCAUUGUUAAGGAUGGCGAUACUGCAGCGAGGUCUGAUGCGUCUGAUGGAGAUACUGAGGCUGCUGAAAGUGAACUGCCCGAGAGGGCUGGGAGGCUGUCUGGAAC